AUUUGUGCAGUGAGUUUCAGGCUGAAGAGAAGAGAGAGACCUGCGGCUGUUUCCGCCCACUCGUCCCAGCACAGCCACCAGAGAACGCCGCGUGGUUUGUUGUUUGGACCCUCCCAGAGCCUCUUCCAGAUGCUGUUGGAAAAAAAGAAAAGAAAAGCUGGGCAGCCAGUGUCACAGCCCAGAUGCCAUCUCGGUCUAUCCGCGGAAAUGCAAGCACGCAGCGCCAAGCCCAACCCAGUAGGUGCCAGGCCCUGGGUGCAGGCUUCAGCUUCACGCCACAUCCUCUCUCUCUUUUCAGUCUCUGAGUGACUUGACUCAGCCAGGGAGAGGAGAUACCUACACAUCCGCAUGAAGGCGCGUGGGAGGAAGCCGAGAAAUGACGGAUGGCGCAGGGCCUACUGCAGCCGCACGUAGACUAGCUCCUUCUUUACGGGCAAAACCCCCUACUUGUCUGCAGUGGGAAAGGAGUCCGUUCAGGGCAAGCUCUGAUCGCUGAGCUAUGGAUGUAGAUGGUAACUAGGCGUCUGGAGGUCAUUACACACCAUAUUCGGAUGGUGGAAAUCAUUGCUUAUUUCAGGACACUAAAAUGGUCCAUUUUUAUGUAUUAAAGUUAUUAAGAAUGAA
ensembl:lncRNA novel transcript